rnacentral:rRNA from 1 species
CAGUAGCCACGGUAACACGGAGGGUGCAAGCGUUAAUCGGAAUUACUGGGCGUAAAGCGCACGCAGGCGGUCUGACAAGUCAGAUGUGAAAUCCCCGGGCUUAACCUGGGAACUGCAUUUGAAACUGUCAGGCUGGAGUCUUGUAGAGGGGGGUAGAAUUCCAGGUGUAGCGGUGAAAUGCGUAGAGAUCUGGAGGAAUACCGGUGGCGAAGGCGGCCCCCUGGACAAAGACUGACGCUCAGGUGCGAAAGCGUGGGGAGCAAACAGGAUUAGAUACCCGCGUAGUCCCUGUCUCUUAUAC